rnacentral:rRNA from 1 species
UACGUAGGGGGCUAGCGUUGUCCGGAAUCAUUGGGCGUAAAGAGCGUGUAGGCGGCCCGGUAAGUCCGCUGUGAAAGUCGGGGGCUCAACCCUCGAAUGCCGGUGGAUACUGUCGGGCUAGAGUGCGGAAGAGGCGAGUGGAAUUCCUGGUGUAGCGGUGAAAUGCGCAGAUAUCAGGAGGAACACCGAUUGCGAAGGCAGCUCGCUGGGACGUUACUGACGCUGAGACGUGAAAGCGUGGGGAGCAAACAGG